ensembl:lncRNA
AGGCUGGGCCCCUGCCAAUCGCGGGGAAGGAAGGAGACGAGCAACCAAUGGGAAGCUGGGGCCCCUGGACCACGUGCUGGUGGCUGAGUGUCGGUCUGGGGUGUCCUGGUUGGUAAGGGGCGGGAGGGUCUGGGGCUGGUCAUCAGGUGGCCGAGGCUGAGUUUCGCCAAGAGGUAAACUCCCCACGUCCGGAAAAGCUGACCCUUUAGGAGACCCGGGAGGGGGCCCAGGGCAGCCCCCGAUCCCCUCCUCCUCCCGGUCUGCCCCCGACCCGGCCCGGCCAUCCUCGGAGCGGGUAAAAGGGAGGCAUUCAUUCCAGGCCGGCGAGCGGGCGGAGGAUCGAGAUGAAUAGGGAGGGUCCCGAGUGUCCCUGCUUCCUGGGAUGGACAAUGGACAAGGGCAUUCAUUCAUUCAUUCAUUCACUCGUCAAAUAUUUAAUGUGCUGCUGCUCCGUGCCAGGCUCUGGCCUAUCUCUACAGACACACCAACGGGGAAGCUGAGUGUGCUUCUGGUAGACGUAGCAGCGCGUGCAAAAGGCCUGGAGGCCGGACAGAGAGAUACAGCACAUUUCAGGACAGUGCCGUAUCCUAGGAGCUGGCAAAACUGGGGGAAAUGGUGUAAUGGAAGGGAAGACAAGGGAGAGAUAGACUGUCUGCUUGUUGGUUAGGCCAGCGGAUAUUUACUGAGCACGUGAUAGGUGCUAGACUAUAAGGGGUACCCAACCAGCCCAAGCCAUUGCUUUCAUGAGGCUGUCUCCUCCAUCUCAGUGCUCCCCACCCACGCCCGGGUCCUGAGACUGGCACAGAGCAGGGUGACAGCCCACAUGUGUGCAUCUCACCGUUGCCAGGUUUGGCUUCUAACCGAGAGUUCUCAGGCAGGAGGAGGUCCAAGAAACGCAGACACGAACGCACCUCAUGCAGACCAGGACGCUGAGUUCCCAGGACAGAUGCAUCCCUCACGUCUUACGACUCUGUCCCCUGGGGAUGGACAUCAGGCAGCCUCCAGCUCCCAGCCACUGCAGCCUUGGACAUGUCCCUUCAGAGACCUGUGUGGAAAUCUCCCUAGGAGAGAGACCUGGUUGCAGAGAUGCUGGAUCACAGGGCACAGUCCGUUGCUGUGUGGCGUCCUGGACUAGCUGUCCCCAGCCACACCUUCUGUCAGUGCAGAAGGUCCCAUGUACCCACAUCUCCACCAGCUGUUAGCUUUAUCCAGCUUCUGAUUUUUACCACUCUGACUCGAUGUCAAGUGACAUCACCAUUGCUAUCUUUCACAUUUCUCUGAUUUCAGGUCACUUUGAGCAUCUCCUCAUUUGCUUGAUCGCCUUCAGUUUGUCCUCUUUUGUAAAUUGCCUGUUCAUAUUCUUUGCCCUGUUUGCACUUGGGUUGCCGUCUUUUACUCGUUGAUUUGCAUGUGCUCCUCAUAGAAUCUAGCUGUGCCCUGUCCCAUCCGAUCUGUCCUACACGAAAUCUCUGCUCUCCACAUGUAGGUAUGAGCACUUGAAAUACGGCAAAUACAAAUUGCGAUGUGCUAAGUGUAAAAUACACACCAGAUUUCGGAAACUUAGUACAAAGAAAAGAUGUAAAAAGAUGUAAAAGAUGUAAAAUAUCUCAUUAACUCAUUUUUAUUCUGUCUACGUUAUAAUAAUAAUAAUAAUGUGGAUGUAUUGGGCUGCAUAAAAUGUACUACUCAAAUUACUUUCACCUAUUUGUUUUUUAUUAUUUAAAAUUUUUUUAAUGUUUAUUUAUUUUUGAGAGAGAGAGAGAGAGAGAGAGAGAGAGACAGCAGGAGCCUGGGAGGGGCAUAGAUAGGGAGACACAGAAUCCGAAGCAGGCUCCAGGCUCUGAGCUGUCAGCACGGAGCCCAACGCGGUGCUUGGCCUCACAAACUGUGAGAUCGUGACUGGAGCCGAAGUCGCACGCUUCACCUACUGAGCCACCCAGGUGCUCCUGAGCCGUGUAACUCUCUUAACAGCCCUGUGAGGUAGGUGCAGUAUGAGGCAUUGCGAACAUAUUCUCCCAUUCUGCCAUGUGAUGAUUCGUGUCACCAUUAUAUCCUUUCUUGGAAGAAAAUUCUCAGCUGCAAUACAACAGGACUUACCCGCUUGUGGUUUCCACCCAUGAUGUUUCAUUAAAGGGGCUCUUAAGUCACAAAGUCAUUCUUCUGUAUUUUCGUAUAUUCGUUCUAUGGUUUUGCUUUGCUUUUGCUUCUAUUCGUUCUAUGUCUUUUAUUCCAUCUCUCGUCCACCUCAGGUUGUGGGGUAGGAUACAGUCUUUUUUCUCCAUCACCUCUACUGGUCGCCGGCUGUGUGGCCCCGGGCAAGCCCCUUCGCCCUGUGUGCCUCAGUCUCCUCCUCUCUAAAAUGGGAAUAAUAAUAGGACCCACCUCCUAAAGCUGUUAUGAUUACGUCAGAAUAAAAUGAGCUCUUCUGUGUCAAGUGCCUACAGUCGUGUUGGGCAGAUAGUAAAUGCUCAAUGAACACCAGCUGCUAUUACUAAACGGUGUUGUGGUCACAGAGCUGACCUCAGUAUGUCAUGAUAGAAACAUGAUAGAAACAGACACCUUUAUUAAGCUCUUACUAUGUACCAGGGUCUGUGCUGCCUGCUUUUCAUGAAUAAUCCCACUGGAUAUCCCCCCUAUUCUACAGAGGAGGAGGCUGAGGCUCAGAGAGGGGCAGCCACUAGCUCGAAGUUGAACAGUGACUCAUAGGUGUGGUGUUUUCAACCCCAAGAUACCCCUCUGGGUGGGUGGGGCCUGCUCUGAGCCAUGGGGGACAGGGAGGACCAAGGAGGGACAAUGCCCUGGCCACAGUGAUCUUGGGAGUUUGAUGGCCUGUGCUUGGGGUCCCCCUAUCAGCCUGGCAGGAGUGGUCUCAGCGGGACGGGCCUGGAGGGGAAGCAAAGGAGGUGGCCCUUCCCAGGCUGGGUCCUCUGGCCCUAGGUCUCUCAGACUCUGCUCGAGCAGCUGCCUUUUGCUGCUGGAUUCUAGGAUGUCAUGAUAAAACCCUGAAGGAGCACUGUUUUCUGGAGGGCCAAUGGGCAGCUCUCUUUUUGAAAUGCAUCGCUGGUGAUUUCCCACCACCGCCUUGGCCCCUUGCCUCGUCCAGCCCCCCAAGCAGCUGACUUGUGGCAUCUCUCCCAGCUCCGUCCUCUCUCCAUUCCCAGACCUACAACCCCAACAGCGGCCAGAGGGCGCCUGAGAGCUCGUAAGUCAGGUCCUGUCCCCUCCUCUGCUGAAGGCCCCCCCCCCAAAAGGCCAUCUGCCCACAAAACACCCUUUGCUGAAGUAGCCCAUCUGGAGUCAGGCCCAGUCAUACUGAUGUCCACCAAUACCUUCCCAAGGAAAGCUGGGCCCCCACUGAGACAAAACACCCAGGGCCUCAGCCGGGACUUCCAGCAAAGGCAAACCAGGCCCUGUCCCUCCUGACUCAGACUCUUUCAUUCAACAGGCUUCUCUUCUGCCUCAGGCUUGUAGGCCUGCCUCAGCAGGGCUCUGGCACCCGGCCUGUCUCACCCAGGCCAGGCCCCGCCCUACCCUGUCCUACCCUCUCUGUUCCAGGCACCCGAGGGCCUCACUCCUCAGCCCAGCCUUUGUCAGCUCACACCCCUUGCGUGCCUAAGAGACUCAAGGGGUGGGGGCUUCGGCUCCCCUGGCCCAUCCUCGAGCUCUGACAGACUCCUGUCCCCUGGCCUGUUCCCCCAGGGCCAGGCCUCUUCCCUCUAAGCCCUACUGUCAUGGGCAGUGCCUUGCCCAGUGUAGUGAGCUGAAUGGUGGCCUCCCAAAAGUCCGUCCGUGUCUCUGAAACUGUCAAUGUGACCCAAUUUGGAAUAAGGAAGGGUGUUUGCAGAGGUAAUUAAGUUAAGGAUCUUGAGAUGAGAUCAGCCUGGAUUACGGCGGGCCCCUGAAUCUAACAAGCGUCCUUAUAAGAGACAGAAGAGAAGACCCAGAGACAGGCAGGGGGAGGAGGGCCCUGGGAGGGGGAGGCAGGGACUGGGGCAGAGAGGCACAGGACGGAUCUUCCUCACAGCCUCCAGAAGGAACCAACCUUGCUCACACCUUGGUUUCGGACUUUUGGCCUCCUGUCCUGUGGAAGAAUGAAUUACCGUUGUUUCAAGCCACAUAGUCUGUGGCACCUUGUUACGGCAGCCCCAGGAACCUAAAACUUCUGACUUGGUAAGGGUUCGGGAACGAACCCCCCCCCCCCCCCCGGCCGCUGGGUCUCUGAGUCUCCUAGGGCUUAGUGUUGACCUGCCACUUAGGAACUGUGCCUAAUGACUAAGCCAUGAAUCACGAAGUGGGAAAAGGACCCCAGGAAAGAGGGGCUUCUCCUGGAGCCCAAGAGAACAGCCAUUUCUACCAGGUGGGAGCUGGGGCAAGUGGGGCACGGGGCGGGGGGGACCCUUCCCAGGGCUGGGUUGUCUUUCCUCUGCACACGCCCUAACAUCAGUGGUCACAGGAUAGAUGUGGCCAGUCCUCUUGUCUGAAUCAGUUUGUCACUCAAUUACUCAUUUGACAAACGCUCAGAGGGCAGUUUCUGGGCCAGGCACUGCUGUGAGCACCGGCGAUGGAAAGAUUGUUAGGGCAUGGUUUGUGACCUCCAGGAAACUAGGGUUGGCGGGGGGGGGGGGGGGCGGUGGUGGCAGGGGCUUGAGGCUCUUUCCUGAGGCUGUCUCUCCUCCCUUCAUGAGGGAAGAUGUCUGACCGAAUAAUCGUAGUUUGAGAACUCAGAAAUCAGACGCCCCACCUCCACCCCUCCUCGGGCAAGCGUGGGGUCAGCAGACCAGGGGAGCAUGCUCAGGUCGGUGCGAGAGAGCAUGAUGAGCACAUGUACUUUAAGAACUAGAUUGUAAUAGAAAACACAGAUACUUAUUGUUUGCGCUGUGCUCUUUUCAGACAAAAGGUUGGUACGUUGAAGUUUCGAGAGUCUGAUGAUCUGUCUCAGGGACUCGAAGUUAUACAAUCAAAUGACAUGCCCCACCCUCCACCCGAACAGAGGAAAAUUAAGACAAAGCAAAAAACCAAAAUGCUUGCAAGUUCCUACCUCACUCAGGAAACGCUGAAGUCCUCCCAGUGGCCCCAGGUCCUGCACCACUGCCUCGUCACCCCCUGCCCUCGCUUCCUCCCACUCACCCCUCACUUACUCUGCUCCAGCCUCACUGGGCUCCUGGCUGCUCCUUAAAUAUCUCAGACACACCCCUGCCUCAGGGCCUUUGCACAGGCUGCUCCCUCUGCCUGGAACACCCUUCCCUCCAUAUCCACCUGAAGAAGUGACCUCCUUCAAGUCUUUGCUCAAAUAUCACCUUCUCGAGGAGGCGUUCGCUAACUGUGUUUUAAAAUAAAAUACCCCAAGGGGCACCUGGGUGGCUCAGUCGGUUGAGCGUCCGACUUCGGCUCAGGUCACGAUCUCACAGCUCGUGAGUUCAAGCCCCACGUCGGGCUCUGUGCUGACAGCUCGGAGCCUGGAGCCUGCUUCGGAUUCUGUGCCUCCCUCUCUCUGCCCCUAACCCACUUGCAUUCUGUCUGUGUCUCUCUCAAAAAUAAACGUUAAAAAAAAGUUUUAAAAAUACCCCAAACUCUCUACCCCCAUGUUUCAUAUUUUCAUCACUCUCCCCAUUAUCUAGUACAUUAGUUGUUUUAUUUAUUUAUCCUUAUUUUCUCCACACCCCCCCC